rnacentral:rRNA from 1 species
AACGAACGCUGGCGGCAUGCCUAACACAUGCAAGUCGAACGAGACCUUCGGGUCUAGUGGCGCACGGGUGCGUAACGCGUGGGAACCUGCCUUUAGGUUCGGAAUAACUCAGAGAAAUUUGAGCUAAUACCGGAUGAUGUCUUCGGACCAAAGAUUUAUCGCCUUUAGAUGGGCCCGCGUUGGAUUGGCUAGUUGGUGGGGUAAAGGCCUACCAAGGCGACGAUCCAUAGCUGGUCUGAGAGGAUGAUCAGCCACACUGGGACUGAGACACGGCCCAGAAUCCUACGGGAGGCAGCAGUGGGGAAUAUUGGACAAUGGGCGAAAGCCUGAUCCAGCAAUGCCGCGUGAGUGAUGAAGGCCUUAGGGUUGUAAAGCUCUUUUACCCGAGAUGAUAAUGACAGUAUCGGGAGAAUAAGCUCCGGCUAACUCCGUG